AGAGGCCCGUUGGCGGCGGUGGCGCUGGAAGUUGCUUAGUUUCAAUGUAGCCGAAAUAGGAACCAAAUGAGGCAAAAAUGCCCCCAGGGACCGUAGGCCUCAGUGGGUGAGGCGGGCAUGAGGAGCUCCACUUAGCCCUCGUUAACAGGGCCUUUUGGAAAGAGGGAGGGAGGAAGGUUGAGCAGAGUCCUGCCAGGGUCUCUUGCUUUCAUGGCCCUCCUUGCCGCCUUUAUAUGGUACAGCUUUGCAUCUGCUUAGUGAAUGAUCAGACUAAUCUUUUUAAGUCAUUAAAAAGCCAAUGGCGCUGUAGCACAUCAUGUUCACAGUGACAUCAGAGGGUUAGGCAAGCUAGUUCUUACCCUGAAUUCUGAACUGAAAGAGACACCAAGUCUUCAAAUGUUAGGUGAGGUGGACUAAAAUAAAGCAAUAGAAGUUUUAGCUUUUGUUCAAGCUCUCUUUCACUUUUUGAACAUUAACUACAAAAAUGAUAUUAAAAAUUAAUGACUUUUACUUAUGUUUCCAUAAUUUGGAAUAAUUUUUCCAAUUUGACAUUUUUUCUAGGUAGAAAAUUACCUGAUGAAACUGAAAGUAAAAUGAGAUCUUAAGAUGAAUAAUUUAUCAAGCAAUAUAUCAUAAACAUAAUCAUUCAGAAGCAAGCCCAUUAAUUUCAAAAGGAAUUCCCAUUCAAAACUGAUGGACAUAUGAAUAAUUUGUUGUGCUUAAUUUAAAGAUAGAGACAACUUUGGAUCAAAGACAACUCCUGAUGACUGUAUAAAUAUAUCCAUGUGCCUUUCUUGGCAACAAUAUAGUUGUGGUUAUUAGCUUUUUCCAGAAUAUUUUUCAACUUCUCAUUCUAUCCUAUGGUCCUGAAAUUCCUGAUGUUCUCCCAUACAAAAAUACUUAAUAGGUCCAGCCCAGUUUAGUAUUAUGCAGAGUAGCAUUAUUGGUAAAUACAGAUUUUAAUACUUUUUCACAAUCCUAUCAAUUGAAAAUAAACUGUUUAAUAGACAUACAUUUAUCAGUGUGAAAUAUAGGUGAUUCUCGCUUAAUGAUAACUUGUUCAGCAACCAUUUGAACUUACAACAGCACUGAACAAGUGGCACUUCUGACCAAUAUUCAUAGUUAUAACCAACAUCACGUCUCCACAGUCACAUGACUGUAAUUUGGGUGAUUUGCAACCCACUCACAAGAUGUUUCAGUGUUCCAUGGUCAUGUGAUCACCAUUUGCAACCUUUACUGCUGGCUUCCAACAAGUAAUGUAAGC
rnacentral:lncRNA from 1 species